GUCACUAAAAAUUUUAUUAAAAACUCUAUUUUUUUAUUAUUUUGCUUAUUAUUUGCUAUAUAUUUGCUUAUUAUUUUAUUUUUAUUUUUUUAUUAUUUCAUUAUUUGCACGUAAUAUAGCAUUUAAUAUUUCACGCACAUUUAUUUGAUAUAAAAAACUCUCUGAAAAAUCACAAGCUCAUAUAAAAAACUCUCUGAAAAAAUCACAAGCUCAACAAUUGGAGUGCAAUAAACAUUAAGUAAAUCUCAAGACAUAAUACUGGGAAUGGAGUUUUGGUCUAUAAUAAUCCAAGUACCGCUUAUUUUGAUAAAUAUAUUUUUAAAAUGGAUGCAAGCACUAAAAAAGAAAAUUACAUUACAAAUUGAAGCAGAAAUUUAUAACGAAUCAUAUUGACGAUGGGAUAUGAAUUGCAGAAAAGCACCAUUGUUGAAUGGUUAUGAAUCAAAUCGUUAUAUAAUAAUUGUCUAUUGUUGCGUAAAUAUAUUUCGAAAUUAAA